rnacentral:rRNA from 1 species
AUAGUGGCGCACGGGUGCGUAACACGUAACUAACCUGCCUAAGACUGGGGGAUAGCCCGCCGAAAGGCGGAUUAAUACCGCAUAAUAUCUUUACUCGGCAUCGAGUGUUGAUUAAACCUGAGGGGGUCUUAGAUGGGGUUGCGGGUCAUUAGCUAGUUGGUAAGGUAACGGCUUACCAAGGCGACGAUGACUAGGGGAGCUGAGAGGCUGGUCCCCCACACGGGCACUGAGAUACGGGCCCG